AGAGUUUGAUCCUGGCUCAGAACGAACGCUGGCGGCGUGCUUAACACAUGCAAGUCGAACGGGAUUAGGGGCUUGCUCCUAAUCUAGUGGCGCACGGGUGAGUAACGCGUGGAUAAUCUGCCCGGUGAUCUGGGAUAACAUCUCGAAAGGGGUGCUAAUACCGGAUAAGCCCACGGGGUCUUCGGACCUUGCGGGAAAAGAGGGGGACCUUCGGGCCUCUUGUCACUGGAUGAGUCCGCGUACCAUUAGCUAGUUGGUAGGGUAAAGGCCUACCAAGGCGACGAUGGUUAGCUGGUCUGAGAGGAUGAUCAGCCACACUGGAACUGAGACACGGUCCAGACUCCUACGGGAGGCAGCAGUGGGGAAUUUUGCGCAAUGGGGGAAACCCUGACGCAGCAACGCCGCGUGAGUGAUGAAGGCCUUCGGGUCGUAAAGCUCUGUCAGAGGGAAAGAAAUGUGGGGUGUUAAUACCAUUUCCACUUGACGUUACCCUCAGAGGAAGCACCGGCUAACUCCGUGCCAGCAGCCGCGGUAAUACGGAGGGUGCGAGCGUUGUUCGGAUUUAUUGGGCGUAAAGCGCGUGUAGGCGGUUUCUUAAGUCUGAUGUGAAAGCCCCGGGCCCAACCUGGGAAGUGCAUUGGAUACUGGGAGACUUGAGUACGGGAGAGGGUAGUGGAAUUCCUAGUGUAGGAGUGAAAUCCGUAGAUAUUAGGAGGAACACCGGUGGCGAAGGCGGCUGCCUGGACCGAUACUGACGCUGAGACGCGAAAGCGUGGGGAGCAAACAGGAUUAGAUACCCUGGUAGUCCACGCCGUAAACGAUGAGUACUAGGUGUUGCGGGUAUUGACCCCUGCAGUGCCGCAGCUAACGCAUUAAGUACUCCGCCUGGGAAGUACGGUCGCAAGACUAAAACUUAAAGGAAUUGAUGG
rnacentral:rRNA from 1 species